rnacentral:rRNA from 1 species
GCAGCCGCCGCGGGAAUACAGAGGAUGCAAGCGUUAUCCGGAAUGAUUGGGCGUAAAGCGUCUGUAGGUGGCUUUUCAAGUCCGCCGUCAAAUCCCAGGGCUCAACUCUGGACAGGCGGUGGAAACUACCAAGCUGGAGUACGGUAGGGGCAGAGGGAAUUUCCGGUGGAGCGGUGAAAUGCGUAGAUAUCGGAAGGAACACCUGUGGCGAAAGCGGCUCACUGGACCAUUUCUGACGCUGAUGCACGAAAGCUAGGGGAGCAAACAGGAUUAGAUACCCCGGUAGUCCCUGUCUCUUAUAC